UGGGGAAUAUUGGGCAAUGGGCGAAAGCCUGACCCAGCAACGCCGCGUGAAGGAUGAAGUAUUUCGGUAUGUAAACUUCGAAAGAAUAGGAAGAAUAAAUGACGGUACUAUUUAUAAGGUCCGGCUAACUACGUGCCAGCAGCCGCGGUAAUACGUAGGGACCAAGCGUUGUUCGGAUUUACUGGGCGUAAAGGGCGCGUAGGCGGCAAUUCAAGUCAUCUGUGAAAUCUCCGGGCUUAACUCGGAACGGUCAGAUGAUACUGCUUUGCUAGAGUGCAGAAGGGGCAAUCGGAAUUCUUGGUGUAGCGGUGAAAUGCGUAGAUAUCAAGAGGAACACCUGAGGUGAAGACGGGUUGCUGGGCUGACACUGACGCUGAGGCGCGAAAGCCAGGGGAGCAAACGGGGAUUAGAUACCCAAGUAGUCCCUGAGCGGGCUGGCAAGGCGCAU
rnacentral:rRNA from 1 species